rnacentral:rRNA from 1 species
AAUAUUCGACACUGGGCGAAAGCCUGAUCCAGCCAUGCCGCGUGUGUUAAGAAGGUCNNNGGAUUNUACAGCACUGUAAGCUGNGAGNAAGGGUUGUAGGUUAGUACCCUGCAUUUUUGACGUUACGAACAGAAUAAGCACCGGCUACGUUCGUGCCAGCAGCCGCGGUAAUACGAAGGGUGCAAGCGUUAAUCGGAAUUACUGGGCGUAAAGCGCGCGUAGGUGGUUCGUUAAGUUGGAAGUGAAAGCCCCGGGCUUAACCGGGGAAUUGCGUUCAAAACUGACGAGCUAGAGUACGGUAGAGGGUAGUGGAAUUUCCUGUGUAGCGGUGAAAUGCGUAGAUAUAGGAAGGAACAUCAGUGGCGAAGGCGACUACCUGGACUGAUACUGACACUGAGGUGCGAAAGCGUGGGGAGCAAACAGG